rnacentral:rRNA from 1 species
CGCCAGACUCCUACGGGAGGCAGCAGUGGGGGAUAUUGCACAAUGGGCGCAAGCCUGAUGCAGCGACGCCGCGUGAGCGAAGAAGUAUUUCGGUAUGUAAAGCUCUAUCAGCAGGGAAGAAAAUGACGGUACCUGACUAAGAAGCUCCGGCUAAAUACGUGCCAGCAGCCGCGGUAAUACGUAUGGAGCAAGCGUUGUCCGGAUUUACUGGGUGUAAAGGGCGUGUAGCCGGGAAGGCAAGUCAGAUGUGAAAUCCGGAGGCUCAACCUCCGAAUUGCAUUUGAAACUGUUUUUCUUGAGUACUGGAGAGGCAGACGGAAUUCCUUGUGUAGCGGUGAAAUGCGUAGAUAUAAGGAGGAACACCAGUGGCGAAGGCGGUCUGCUGGACAGCAACUGACGGUGAGGCGCGAAAGCGUGGGGAGCAAACAGGAUUAGAUACCCCAGUA